rnacentral:rRNA from 1 species
CGCCCAGACUCCUACGGGAGGCAGCAGUGAGGAAUAUUGGUCAAUGGGCUAAGGCCUGAACCAGCCAAGUCGCGUGAGGGAAGACGGUCCUAUGGAUUGUAAACCUCUUUUGUCGGGGAGCAACGAGGCCACGUGUGGCCGAAGUGAGAGUACCCGAAGAAAAAGCAUCGGCUAACUCCGUGCCAGCAGCCGCGGUAAUACGGGGGAUGCAAGCGUUAUCCGGAUUUAUUGGGUUUAAAGGGUGCGUAGGCUGUGAGGUAAGUCAGCGGUGAAAUGCCCCCGCUCAACGGGGUGAAGUGCCAUUGAUACUGCCUUGCUGGAAUGCGGAUGCCGUGGGAGGAAUGUGUGGUGUAGCGGUGAAAUGCAUAGAUAUCACACAGAACACCGAUUGCGAAGGCAUCUCACGAAUCCGCGAUUGACGCUGAUGCACGAAAGCGUGGGUAUCAAACAGGAUUAGAUACCCGUGUAA